AACCAUAGAAACCUGCGGAGUACCUGCGGAGGGAUCAUUAAAGAUUGACCGAAAGGUCUUAUCUCUAUAUCCCUCACCUCUGUGAACUGUGGACCUCCGGGUCUAUUUAACAAACAUCAGUGUAAUGAACGUAUAUAUCAUUAAACAAAACAAAACUUUCAACAACGGAUCU
rnacentral:misc_RNA from 1 species